GCUUUAGAAGGUGUCGCGAUGACUCUAUGUGCCCAAUUCAACCCAUAAGACUAAAGCCCUAUCCUCUUUCUUUCUCAUUCUCAGGAAUCGCGAUUGCAGCCUCUCUCUCUCUCUUCUCGCUCUUGGUCCACCCCUCCUCACUAUGUUUUUUUAUCAACCCUAAAAUCCCUGUGUAUAAAUCACGCGAUCUCUCUCUACUUGCUAUCAUUGUGUUGUCAAACAAAAAAGAAGAAGAAGAAGAA
rnacentral:misc_RNA from 1 species